GCCGGGUGUGGUGGGGCACACCUGUAAUCCCAGUUACUUGGGAGGCUGAGGCAAGAGAAUUGCAAGUUUGAGGUCAGCCUAGGCGAUUUACAAAGACCCUGUCUCAA
rnacentral:sRNA from 1 species